CCACUGUGAGUUCAGCAAAUGGAGGCGCAUGGAAAAGGCUGGGACGCAGGCAGAGGAACGGAUUUCCUGGCCUACAAACACCCUGGCUCUUGUUUCGGGGGUGGGGUGGGGGUGGGGUGCUUUUUUUUUCUUAAAUCAAAUACGUACAGGUUAUUUACUGGGUGUCAGGCCCUGCAGGAGUGAUUGAGUGGGUGAGCAGGAACUCCAGGUCCUGUCCGGGUCACCCUGACCUCAAUAGCAGUGAGGGAUUUUUUUAGGCAGCAACAGGAUUUCUGGUGUCCAGUGCUUGAAAACUCAAGGGAAGAAAACCCCCAGCUCUCAAGCCAAGCAAGGAUCUUUGUCUCUAGAUCAGCACUACCAGGAGUGAUGACCCUCAGUGGCUGGUGGAGCCACUAACUAUUAAGAGAACCAAUUUGAACAGCUGGAAACAAUAAGCAUAGGAGGAGAAGAAGACACGCGGAGGACUGAUAUUGCUCCACAGGGGCCGGUGGCAGCCUGUGCAUACAGAAGUAGUUCACGCUCCCCGAGAUGAUGGAAGAGGUGCUGAACACCUCAAGGAGCUCCCUGUGCGCUCUGCCACAGACAGCCUGUAGCUCCCCUGCCUCACACCCACAAGGCGCCAAAGGCAUUGUCUCUGCAAGGCCAGGGGGUUUUUGCAGAGCCUCUGGGCAUCCUGGGAAUGACACUGAGAACAGCAUCCAGAGAGACACCCACCUACCAGGCAAGGGGUGAGGCUCUACAGUGAAAGAUGGACCUAAGGAAUCAAUGGAGAUACACAGGCCAGCUACCAGCACAGAGAGCAGCAGGCGCUAGGUGGGAAUGUGGCUUUGUGCCUCAGCACUUGCAGAGGGAAGGACUUUAUCCCUGCCAUGGCACUGUUUCUCAAAGUCAGAUGUUAGAAGCUGACUGCCCACGUAGCAAUGCUGAGUCCGGGCCUAAUAAGAAGUGAUUGGGUCAUGAGGACCAGGUCUUCAUGAAUGGAGAAUGUGGUGGUUUGAAUAUGCUUGGCCCAUGGGAAGGGGAGCCAUUAAGAGGGGGUGGUCUUGUUGCAGGAAGUGUGUCGUUGUGUAGGCAGGCUUCGAGGGCCUAUGUUCAAGCUCUGCCUAGUGUGGAAAGGAGAGGCUCUUCCUGGCUGUCUGCCAAUCAAGAGGCUGUUCCUCCAGUACCAUGUCUGCCUGAACGAUGCCGUGUUCCCUGCCAUGAUGAUAAUAGACUGAACCUCUGAAACUGUAAGCCAGACUCAAUUAAAUGUUUG